rnacentral:lncRNA from 1 species
UUAAUGCCUUCAGAUGAGGAAACUGGAUCAAUGAAGCUAGAACCGAUUAGGUCCUGGGGAACCAUGCUGGAUCCUUUUAAGGAAAUUUAGUCCCUGCUAUAGGAGGAAAGGAAGAGGCAGAUGAGUGGCACAGAGAGAGGAUAGAGUUCUGCAGCUGGAGUCAAGAAGUCCUGAAUUCAAAGAUGAGCUCAGACAUUUACAAGAUGAGAGACCUUGGGUGGGAAAGUGCUAGAAAAUGUCUUCUGGCUUCUCAGCUGAAAAUUACAUCCCUUUUGCUCUCUGAACUCCAUAUAAGCAGACAUCUUCAUGCAUUGGGGCUGGACUAGAAUAAACAUAUAAUUUGUGAAGAUACUAUAAAAUAA